rnacentral:lncRNA from 1 species
AAGGAACUGAGACCCAAAGGAGUUGAAGAACUUCCUCAAGACAACGCAGUUAGAAAGUAUCAGAAACAGGAUUCAAGAUAAAGUUCUCCGAUGCCAGACACAGUUGCUAUGUUCUUUGGACUUUGGACUGUUACAUUCUCUCCUUGGAAAUGGAGCAGACUAUUCAGGCACUUAUUUUAAUAAUCAGAAGAUGAGAAGCACUCAUGAGUACUUUUAUGGUUACAAGAGUACCGUGCAUUACAAUGCCAGAACCCAAGGAAUCCGCAAGAGACCUUCAAAACCAUACCAGAAUUCCUCAGUAUGCCAUAUAAACAUAUGGAGCAGUCGAGGAGAAAAACAAGUUAGAAAUUCUACUUUUAAUUUAAAGGGAAAGCUACUUGUACUUGGGAGGGAAAAGAAAAGUGAGAAAACCACAUGGAAGACUCACAGGAUUUAAAUGAACAAUCAGUAAAGAAAACGUGCUCAGAAACAGAUGUUUCAGAACCUCAGAAUUCCAGGUCUAUGGAAAUGCAGGACCUAGCAAGUCCUCAUACACUUGUUGGAAGUAGUGAUACUCCUGGUAGCUCCAAACUGGAUAAAUCUAAUCUCAGCAACACAUCAGUUACAACAAAUGGGACAGGAGGGGACACCAUGACUGUUUUAAAUACUGCAGACUGGUUACUGAGUUGCAACACUCCUUCUUCUGCAACAAUGUCUCUUCUUGCAGUCAAAACAGAGCCCAUGAACAACAGUGAAACAACCACAACAACUGGAGAUGGAGCGCUUGACACUUUUACUGGGUCAGUAAUAACGAGUAGUGGCUACAGUCCCAGAUCAGCACAUCAGUACUCUCCACAAUUGUAUCCCUCCAAGCCCUAUCCACACAUUCUUUCUACACCAGCAGCUCAAACAAUGUCUGCCUAUGCUGGACAGACUCAAUAUUCAGGAAUGCAGCAGCCAGCAGUGUACACAGCCUACUCACAGACAGGACAACCUUACAGCUUACCCACUUACGAUUUAGGUGUGAUGUUGCCAGGCAUCAAGACAGAAAGUGGACUUUCACAAACCCAGUCACCACUACAGACGGGGUGCCUCAGUUACAGUCCAGGGUUUUCUACCCCCCAGCCAGGCCAAACACCUUAUUCUUACCAAAUGCCAGGUUCUAGUUUUGCACCAUCAUCCACUAUUUAUGCAAAUAAUUCUGUUUCUAAUUCAACGAAUUUCAGUAGCUCACAGCAGGAUUAUCCAUCAUAUACAGCCUUUGGCCAAAACCAAUAUGCACAGUAUUAUUCAGCAUCAACGUAUGGAGCAUAUAUGACUUCAAAUAACACAGCUGAUGGCACAUCUUCAUCUUCAUCAACAUAUCAGCUGCAGGAAUCUCUCCCUGGACUGACUAGUCAACCAGGUACAGAUCUCCAUUCAGGAGAUUUUGAUACAGUGCAGAGCCCUUCCACACCCAUCAAAGACCUUGAUGAGAGAACAUGUAGGAGUUCUGGGUCAAAGUCCCGAGGAAGAGGCCGGAAGAAUAAUCCAUCACCUCCACCAGACAGUGACUUGGAGCGUGUAUUUGUCUGGGAUUUGGAUGAAACCAUCAUCGUUUUUCACUCACUGCUUACAGGGUCCUAUGCACAGAAGUAUGGCAAGGAAUGUGAUCAAGUUCAUAUAGAUGAUGUUUCUUCUGAUGAUAAUGGUCAAGACUUAAGUACCUACAGCUUUGCAACUGAUGGCUUCCAUGCAGCUGCAAGUAGUGCAAACCUUUGUUUGCCAACAGGUGUAAGAGGAGGGGUUGACUGGAUGAGGAAGCUGGCUUUUCGUUACAGAAGAGUAAAAGAAUUAUAUAAUACCUACAAGAACAAUGUAGGAGGACUCCUUGGCCCAGCUAAGAGAGAUGCAUGGCUGCAAUUAAGAGCAGAGAUUGAAGGUCUAACAGACUCCUGGCUGACAAAUGCACUUAAAUCCUUAUCAAUUAUUAGUACUAGGAGUAACUGUGUAAAUGUCUUGGUAACAACAACUCAGCUUAUCCCAGCACUUGCAAAAGUCCUACUCUAUAGUUUGGGAGGUGCUUUUCCUAUUGAAAAUAUUUACAGUGCAACUAAAAUAGGAAAAGAAAGUUGCUUUGAGCGAAUAAUGCAAAGGUUUGGCAGAAAAGUAGUAUAUGUUGUAAUUGGGGAUGGUGUAGAAGAAGAACAGGCAGCAAAAAAGCACAACAUGCCUUUUUGGAGGAUAUCAAGUCAUUCAGACCUCUUGGCUCUACAUCAAGCAUUGGAACUAGAAUAUUUGUAA